GAGGAGGCUCAGUCAGUCCUGCCACCACUGAAGCUGCACCGUGAGAAGAGGGGACGGCAGCUCACCCAGGUUCUGUCUGUACUCGGACUUCAGGCCGAGCUGCAAGAGCUGGUUCUCAAAGAUCACACCGUUGUUCUUACAAACAAACCUGCCGGUGAGAAGCAGCCGUUAGGAACGGAGCCGAGUACAGGUGCACCGAGACAGACCAGCAUCUGGAGUACAGGUGCACCCAGACAGACCAGCAUCUGGAGUACAGGUGCACCGAGACAGACCAGCAUCUGGAGUACAGGUGCACCCAGACAGACCAGCAUCUGGAGUACAGGUGCACCCAGACAGACCAGCAUCUGGAGUAGAGGUGCACCCAGACAGACCAGCAUCUGGAGUACAGGUGCACCCAGACAGACCAGCAUCUGGAGUACAGGUGCACCCAGACAGACCAGCAUCUGGAGUACAGGUGCACCCAGACAGACCAGCAUCUGGAGUACAGGUGCACCCAGACAGACCAGCAUCUGGAGUACAGGUGCACCCAGACAGACCAGCAUCUGGAGUACAGGUGCCCCCAGACAGACCAGCAUCUGGAGUACAGGUGCACCGAGACAGACCAGCAUCUGGAAUACAGGUGCACCCAGACAGACCAGCAUCUGGAGUACAGGUGCACCCAGACAGACCAGCAUCUGGAGUACAGGUGCACCCAGACAGACCAGCAUCUGGAGCAGAGGUGCACCGAGACAGACCAGCAUCUGGAGCAGAGGUGCACCCAGACAGACCAGCAUCUGGAGCAGAGGUGCACCCAGACAGACCAGCAUCUGGAGCAGAGGUGCACCCAGACAGACCAGCAUCUGGAGUACAGGUGCACCCAGACAGACCAGCAUCUGGAGUACAGGUGCACCCAGACAGACCAGCAUCUGGAGUACAGGUGCACCCAGACAGACCAGCAUCUGGAGUAGAGGUGCACCCAGACAGACCAGCAUCUGGAGUACAGGUGCACCGAGACAGACCAGCAUCUGGAGCAGAGGUGCACCGAGACAGACCAGCAUCUGGAGUACAGGUGCACCCAGACAGACCAGCAUCUGGAGUACAGGUGCACCCAGACAGACCAGCAUCUGGAGUACAGGUGCACCGAGACAGACCAGCAUCUGGAGUACAGGUGCACCCAGACAGACCAGCAUCUGGAGUACAGGUGCACCCAGACAGACCAGCAUCUGGAGUACAGGUGCACCCAGACAGACCAGCAUCUGGAGUAGAGGUGCACCCAGACAGACCAGCAUCUGGAGCAGAGGUGCACCCAGACAGACCAGCAUCUGGAGUAGAGGUGCACCCAGACAGACCAGCAUCUGGAGCAGAGGUGCACCCAGACAGACCAGCAUCUGGAGUAGAGGUGCACCCAGACAGACCAGCAUCUGGAGCAGAGGUGCACCCAGACAGACCAGCAUCUGGAGCAGAGGUGCACCCAGACAGACCAGCAUCUGGAGUACAGGUGCACCCAGACAGACCAGCAUCUGGAGUACAGGUGCACCCAGACAGACCAGCAUCUGGAGUACAGGUGCACCCAGACAGACCAGCAUCUGGAACGUCAUCUCAUGA
ensembl:lncRNA